GACGAACGCUGGCGGCGUGCUUAACACAUGCAAGUCGAACGGAAAGGCCCUGCUUUUGUGGGGUGCUCGAGUGGCGAACGGGUGAGUAACACGUGAGUAACCUGCUCUUGACUUUGGGAUAACUUCAGGAAACUGGGGCUAAUACCGGAUAGGAGCUCCUGCUGCAUGGUGGGGGUGGGAAAGUUUCGGCGGUUGGGGAUGGACUCGCGGCUUAUCAGCUUGUUGGUGGGGUAGUGGCUUACCAAGGCUUUGACGGGUAGCCGGCCUGAGAGGGUGACCGGCCACAUUGGGACUGAGAUACGGCCCAGACUCCUACGGGAGGCAGCAGUGGGGAAUAUUGCACAAUGGGCGGAAGCCUGAUGCAGCAACGCCGCGUGCGGGAUGACGGCCUUCGGGUUGUAAACCGCUUUCGCCUGUGACGAAGCGUGAGUGACAGUAAUGGGUAAAGAAGCACCGGCUAACUACGUG
rnacentral:rRNA from 1 species